rnacentral:rRNA from 1 species
GACGAACGCUGGCGGCGUGCUUAACACAUGCAAGUCGAACGGAAAGGCCUCUUUCGGGGGGUACUCGAGUGGCGAACGGGUGAGUAACACGUGAGUAACCUGCCCUUGACUUUGGGAUAACUUCAGGAAACUGGGGCUAAUACCGGAUAGGAGCUCCUGCUGCAUGGUGGGGGUUGGAAAGUUUCGGCGGUUGGGGAUGGACUCGCGGCUUAUCAGCUUGUUGGUGGGGUAGUGGCUUACCAAGGCUUUGACGGGUAGCCGGCCUGAGAGGGUGACCGGCCACAUUGGGACUGAGAUACGGCCCAGACUCCUACGGGAGGCCGCAGUGGGGAAUAUUGCACAAUGGGUGGAAGCCUGAUGCAGCAACGCCGUGUGCGGGAUGACGGCCUUCGGGUUGUAAACCGCUUUCGCUCAUGACGAAGCUUUGUGUGACGGUAGUGGGUAAAGAAGCACCGGCUAACUACGUG